ensembl:lncRNA
UUUUCUCUUUCUUUCCCAGAGAAAGACAGUGAAGAGAUGGGUGAGUCUCCCCUCCCAAAAUAAAAACGUUGGGGUUCUCCUGUGGGAGCUGUGGAUGAGAUGUUCCUCUCAUCACGCACUGUUUCUACUUUUCCUUUGCAGGUUCUGGCAUUGCAGAUCUGAGUAAGUCUCCCUCCCUACAGUGAAGGAAUUUGGGGUCUUCCCAUGGGAUCAGCCAUGGGAUUAUCAUCUGACCCUUCUCAUCAUGCAUUUCAUAUUUGUUCCUUUUGCAGAGGAACUGGCUGCAAAAUUGAAGGAAUAUAUUGCAGAGAAUCGUGAGUCUCCCCUCCGAAAUUAUAAAUGCUGGGGAAUUCUUGUGGGAGCUGUGGGAUGAGCUCUUCCUCUCAUCAUGCACUGUUUCUGCUUUUCCUUUGCAGAGAGAAGGAAUGUACCGUUGAGUGAGUCUCUCUUCCCAAACCAAACAGAUUUGGGGUCUUCCCAUGGGAUCAGCCAUGGGAUGAUAAUCGGACCCUUCUCAUCAUGCGUUUCUGAUUGGUUCCUCUUGCAGAUAAUAUAGCUGCCAAACUGGAACAUCAAACUAAAGAAUUGGACAAACAGCAUUCACAGUUCUGUAAGUUGCAGUCACUAAACUGAAGGAAUGUGGGGUCUUCCCAAAGUCCUGCAUAUGGGAUGAAAAAUCCCCUCUGACCAUGCACUGCUUUUCUCUUUCUAUUCCAGACAGACACUUUCAGCGUAUGGAUUUAAGUGCUGUAAACCAGAGUAAGUCUCCCUCCCUGCACAGAAGGAACUUCCAGUUUUCCCAUGGGAUCAGCCACGGGACGAUCAUCCGACUCUUCUCAUCAUGAAUUUCGUCUUUCUUUCUUUUGCAGAGAAACUGGUUACAAAAUUGGAGGAACACUGUAAUCAGAUGGGUGAGUCUCCCCUCCCAAAUUAAAAAUGUUGGGGUCUUCCUGUGUGAGCUGUGGGAUGAGCUGUUCCUCUCAUCGUGCACUGUUUCUGCUUUUCCUUUGCAGAGAGAAGGAAUGUAAAGUCGGGUGAGUCUUCUUCCCCAACCAUAGAUUCAGGGACUUCCACAGGAUCAGCCAUGGGAUGAUAACCUGAACCUUAUCAUGUGUUUCUUAUUUGUUCCUUUUGCAGAGGCAGCAGCUGUAAAAGUGGGUGAGUCCUCCCUCCCAAAUUAAAUACAAAAGGGGAUCUGCCUGUGUGAGCUGUGGGAUGAGAUGUUCCUCUCAUCACACAUUGUUUUUCUUUUCCAGGGCAACAAGCUAAAGAAUCAGAGAAACAGAAAUCGGAGCUGAGUAAGUUGCAGUCACUGAAGUGAGGGAAUUGGGGGUCCUUUCAAGGGACUGCGUAUGGGAUGAAAAAUCCCCUCUGACCAUGCACUGCUUUUCUCCUCCUUUGCCAGAGGAGCGCCAUGAGGAGAUGGGUGAGUCUCCCCUCCCAUAUUAAAAUCGUUGGGGUCUUCCUGUGUGAGCUGUGGGAUGAGAUAUUCCUCUCAUCGUGCGGUGCUUUUCUCUCUUUCCCAGCAGAACAAACUGAAGCGUGGGUGAGUCUUUGUCCCAAACCAAAGGAAUAUGGGGCAAUCCAUGAGAUGACAAGCUGUCCCAUCUCAUCGUGCAUUGCUCUUCUAUUCCUUUUUUCCAGUGGUAGAUACUGAAGAAUCAGAAAAACCAUCUGAAGAAUUGGAUUGAGAGAUGAACUGCGCCUCACAGUAACCACAGGAGUUAAGCUUCAUACAUCAAUAACUACACAGCAUAAAAAACCACGAUUCCACAAACAGAGCAAGGAAAUCCACAGCGAGAACAAGAGGAGCCAGUGUUUGUGUUGAGUGAGAACACUGCAGUUCUGUGAGCCAAAGCUGCCUGAGGGAUCGCCGAACUGAGGGUGUGUGACCUCCAACUCAAAGCCAAUUGGAAGAAAGAAACCAUAGAAAGGAAAAAAAGGGGAGGAAGACAGAGAUCCUGGAAGAGAUAUGGGCAUUUGGGGAAAUAGUGUGACCAUGUAUCAGGCUUUGUGGACAUCUAAUGAGUAUGUAAUGCUUAUGGAAGUAGAAGCAUGCACGCAGAAACAAAGGCAGAAAACUGCUUUGGGUGUUAGCACUGUUCUCUGUCACAAUAUAAUAAAGAAUACCUGCUGAUGGCAAUGGAUCAUUGAUUGUGAUCAGUUAUUGGGGUUUGGUUCCAUGAAACAGCCUGAGUUUUCAUCCCGGAACUAAAGCAACGUGGGCUCUAUCGGAUAAGAAGCUGACCCUUCUCACCAGCACUGCUAGUCCCGCACAACAAGGCUCUCUCCA